rnacentral:lncRNA from 1 species
GGAUACCCACCUCCGAGCUGUGAAAGAAAAGGGCUUGGGUCUUCCCCUACCUGAGGAGUCUGCACACCGGAUGUGCACCCUCCCCCGAGCUCUGGCCGGGAGGCUUCUUGCCCAGUUCAAAUUGUUACAAGGUUCAGCUAGAGAUUUUCUUCUCCCUGUGGAGUUUUACCCCCUGCUCCUCUGGCCACCCUCCCAAUGGAACCCUGUGAUGCCCAGCAGGAAUGGGCUGCUUGGGCACCCAGCGAGCUCCCAGUGCCUUUCUGCUACUUCCUCUACCCCUGUAUUUCGCUCAGCUCUCUAAAUUGACUCAGCUCCAGGUCAUCAGGAAGGGAGUUGAAAUCAGCCUGCCAUUGAGCUACAAAAUCUUGCUUGUGAUCCGGACGCUUUAGAAACUCCUGGAAACUUGUUCUGUAGACAUUAAUAGAAUGAGAUAAAUUUUAUAUGUCAUGCCUCU